GGGCGAUUAGCUCAGCGGGAGAGCACACCCUUCACACGGGUGGGGUCACUGGUUCAAUCCCAGUAUCGCCCACCA
rnacentral:tRNA from 3 species